rnacentral:rRNA from 1 species
AGUCAUAUGCUUGUCUCAAAGAUUAAGCCAUGCAUGUGUAAGUACAGGCCGACUUAAGGCGAAACCGCGGACGGCUCAUUAAAUCAGAUAUAACUCAUUGGAUCUCUGCUGAACCGCAUUACUUGGAUAACUGUGGUAAUUCUAGAGCUAAUACAUGCCUUUGUAGUCUCCGACCGCGAGGGAGGAGCGCUUUUAUUAGACCAAAACCCUCGGCAGCCGGUUCCCGCAAGGGGCCGGCCGCACACAUCUUGGUGAAUCAGAAUAACUUUUGCCGAGCGCACGACCCCUCCCGUAACCCGGGUUGGGUCGGCGCCGCGUCCUGCAGGCGUCUGCCUUAUCAGCUCUCGAUUGUAGGUUAAACGCCUACAAUGGCUAUCACGGGUAACGGGGAAUCAGGGUUCGAUUCCGGAGAGGGAGCCUGAGAAACGGCUACCACAUCUAAGGAAGGCAGCAGGCGCGCAAAUUACCCACUCCCGGCACGGGGAGGUAGUGACGAAAAAUACUGUUGCGAGCCCCGAACGGGGCCUCGCAAUUGGAAUGAGUACACUUUAAAUCCUUGUACGAGGAUCGAGUGGAGGGCAAGUCUGGUGCCAGCCGCCGCGGUAAUUCCAGCUCCACUAGCGUAUAUUAAAGUUGUUGCGGUUGAAACGCUCGUAGUUUGACUUCUGCUCCGGACCGGCGGUCCGCCUUAGCGGCGGCUACUGCCGGGUUCCGAGCUGUGUCCCCGCCGGCGCACAUGGGGUUUUUAUGCCCUUAACCGGGUGUCCCCUUGUGGCCGGCACGUUUACUUUGAAAAAAUUAGAGUGCUCAGAGCAGGCUGGUUUUUGCUUACAGCCCGAAUGGUCGUGCAUGGAAUGAUGGAACAGGACCUCGGUUCUAUUUUGUCGGUUUUUCGGAACCCGAGGUAAUGAUUAAUAGAAGCAGACGGGGGCAUUCGUACUGCGACGCUAGAGGUGAAAUUCUUAGACCGUCGCAUGACGACCUACUGCGAAAGCAUCUGCCAAGGAUGUUUUCAUUGAUCAAGAACGAAAGUUAGAGGUUCGAAGGCGAUCAGAUACCGCCCUAGUUCUAACCUUAAACGAUGCUGACUAGCGAUCCGCCGCAGUUAUUCCCAUGACCCGGCGGGUAGCUUCCGGGAAACCAAAGUCUUUGAGUUCCGGGGGAAGUAUGGUUGCAAAGCUGAAACUUAAAGGAAUUGACGGAAGGGCACCACCAGGAGUGGAGCCUGCGGCUCAAUUUGACUCAACACGGGGAAACUCACCAGGCCAGGACACCGGAAGGAUUGACAGAAUGAAGGCUCUUUCUCGAUUCGGUGGGUGGUGGUGCAUGGCCGUUCUUAGUUGGUGGAGUGAUCUGUCUGGUUAAUUCCGAUAACGAACGAGACUCUAGCCUGCUAAAUAGUCGACGGAUCUCAACCCCGUUGCCCCCGUUGUCGUUCGCGGCGAUGCGGGGCGCGGGUUCCCCGAAACCCGGUCGUCGUGCGGGCCUCCACCGUCGGUCGGUUAGCGCCGCCGGCGGCGCGCCCCGCGGCGCCGGAAACUGGCGUCCGCUUCGCAGUCUUCUUCUUAGAGGGAUAAGCGGCAGCAAAAAAUAUACUAGCCGCACGAGAGUUUGAGCCAUAACAGGUCUGUGAUGCCCUUAGAUGUUCUGGGCCGCACGCGCGCUACAAUGGAGAGUUCAGCGAGCUGGCCCUGCUCCGAGAGGAGCGGGUAACCUCGUGAAAGCUGUCCUUAAAGGGGAUUGGGGCUUGCAAAUGUUCCCCAUGAACGAGGAAUUCCCAGUAGGCGCAAUUCACCAGAUUGCGCCGAUUUAGUCCCUGCCCUUUGUACACACCGCCCGUCGCUACUACCGAUUGAAUGGUCUAGUGAGGGCACCGGACUGGCGCCCUUGGAGCCGCUACCGCCUCGGCGGGCAGCGCCCUCGGGUCGACGGAAAGGUGUCCAAGCUGGGUCAUUUAGAGGAAGUAAAAGUCGUAACAAGGUUUCCGUAGGUGAACCUGCGGAAG